rnacentral:lncRNA from 1 species
CUUCGUGAAUUAUUUGAUGCUUCUUGUAAAAUUCUUCUCGAGUGAGGUCUCCGUAUGGGCUAUUCUCAUUAGCUUGGCUUAUGGGGUGUGACAUUUUCAUUUCUUUGAAGCAGAAGAAGAAGAAUGUUCAAAAGUACUUGGAAUGUGAAAUGUGAGUAUGAUGACGAGACGACACCAGGCCACUUGUAUUUAUACACGGUGACCUACGAAGCUACUUUUCAUGCAAAAUUUAAUUCGAGACAUUCACUGUGUGUUUGCAUAAUUGUAUGUAACAUGAUAAUAUAUGAGAAUACGAAAUAUAUAACUAAUAUUUCAAAAAAAAAAAAGAGAGAGAACCGUAGAGGAAGUGUCAUCAACUCAGCUGUCAAAUGUACGUCCAGGCACCUAAUUAAUGGUUACAUUUAAUAUUUCAAUUUGGUUUGAGACUCAAAUAAAUUACGAGAGAUUAUCAGUUUUCUUUUUAUUUAAAUUAAUAAGUACGAUUAAUUUUUUUAAUAUUUUUAUAAUAGUAAUAAUUUCUUAGCAUAAAAAAUUUUAAGUGAAAGAAGGAUGAGUGAGUUAUUUACUUAAUAUUUUAUUUUUGAAAAUAUAAAAUAUAUAUUUAUUAUCCUUAUUAAUGGUUACAUUUAAUACUUCAAUUUGGUAUGAGAUUCAUUUCCUCUCAUCUCUCAAUAAGAAAAUCACUGCAUUCCAACACUUUCCAAACAAUUUUUUCUUCUUAUUUUUCCUAUUUUUCAUGUGUUAUUUUAUUUUUCUUAUCCACCACUCGUGUUUUCUUUUGAUCUUAAAAAAAUUAUGAAAUCAUUGUUUAUGUGGAUUUGAACUACUAUUUAUAGAUCUACAUAAAGAUAUUGAUUUUUAUAUUUCUUAUUCUCUUGAAAUUUCUUCUAAAUGGAAAAAUUGGAUAAGUCCAACAUAUUAUUUGAAUAUUUGUAUAUUAUUUUCUUAAAAGCACGUGGGUGAGUGUUGUGGGGUAUUUGUGUUUGAAAGUAUGUCUGGCCAUAUUGUAUUACAAACCAGAGCAAUCGGGUAUGAUCAUAUUAAAUGAUGACUUACAAACAUUAAUUUAGACAAUUACAAGUGAUGAGCUACUUCAAAACAUUAAUUUAGACAAUUACAAGUGAUGAGCUACUUGAAUGAAUCUGAAAAAGAUUUAACAAGGGACAAAUUUACUCAAAUUAUGACAUUGUUGUUAAUGCUAAUUUAUUGAAGAUAUACCACCUAUUUUAAAAUUUCAUACUAAUUUAUUUAUGCUACAUAUAUUUUUACCCAAAAGCUUAAUUUUUAUUCAAAGAGAUUAAAUGAAUCAAUGUUAUUUUUUUUUCUUAUAUUAACAUUUUAAUUACAAUUAUAAUUUUUAUGUUUGGGAAAAAAAUGUUUUCGCAAAUAAAGCUAUAUAUAUAUAUGUAGAAAACUUAAAAUUGUAAUAGAUUGAGUACAUUGGAUUUCAUCAAUGCUAGCUUUAAAUUAGGGGCAAUAAUCCGUGCAGUGUAUUAAUUAUUAAUGAAGCAGCUCAAAGUCCUGACCUUUUUUUUUUUUUUUUUUUUUGGUUUGUUUGAUGUGUUAUUGUGACUUGUGAGGAUCUAAGUAAAGCAAAGAGCUCGUGUGGCAUGUAGCACGCGAUGAUCAUCUAUUGAAAUCCCACCGACAACUAAGGUUAUUUGAUUCUUGUGUUAUUAUUUUUACCUCCUAACCUUCAAUUAUAAAAAAGUGAGAAAAUAACAAUUUAGAUAUUUGUAAAGGUAAUGUGCCACGUAUGAGUGUAGUUGAGAUUUAAGUAAUGUAAUGAAUUAUAAUAUUUAAAUCUCAAUUGAUGCGUUAUUAAUUCAUUAAACGGUAAAAUGAUAAUAUUAUAAGUUAGGAAAUUCAUUAUAUAUUCAAUGAGUGACAAUAGCAGUUAGAACUCAAAUAUUAAGAUUACAAAUAACAACCUAGUAAAAAUAUGAGCAGCUCAAAUCAAUCUUUAUAUAAGUUAACAUAUAUCAUGUGUUUUCGUGAUAAAACUUAAAAUUGAUAAAAAUUAAUUAAGAUUGUUAUUAUGGUAAGAAAAAAAAAAUGUCCCUUAUGCAUAACUUAGUUCUCUGUAAAUGUAUUUUGAGUUUGCAAUUACUUAAGUUCAAAUAGUUAUAAAGAAAGUGGUUAGUGUUUAGUGGAUUAGAUUUCUCAUUUCCAUCCAAACCUUUAAAAAGGAAAUAGUAAAAUAUAUAUUAAUUUCACUGUAUAUGAUCUAGGAAAAAUGAUUUUAUAGGUAGAUUUGUAUAUGAGAGCGAGAGGGAUGCUAUUGUGAUGGGUUUUCAAAUUUAGAGUGGGCUUCGUAUGGCGCAAUAAUUGUGAAUCACCAGGCCCAUCUAUUUACACAACCUGCUUUUGAGAGGAUUUGCUUUGAAUAACCUUUUUUCUUUUCUUUUUUAAGCCGAAAUUUUUUUAUUUGAGAAUAUGAAUAACCUUUUUUGUUUUUAAUCUUCUUCAAACUUCAAUACAUACAGUGGAUUAUUGAAUCUCAAAAACAUAAAUUCAAUUUUUUAAUUAAGGCAGAUUUUUGUGUGUGUGGAUGUUAAUACCAUGAACUCACUAGCUAGUUAGAGAUUAGUCUUCAAUUAAAAGAAGAAUAACUUGAUCAGUCAAUUAAUAAUUACUCUUUAAUUUAGACAAUAACUAAAUUAGGUAAUGAUGAUGAAUAUGCAAAGGGCAAAAGUAUCACAUUAGAUUACCGAUUAAUUUUCAUUAAUAUUGGUUAAAAAGUACAUAAAUAUAUAAUGAACUGAACUUGAGCAUCAUUUCAACUUCAUGUAUAGAACCUUAAUUAGAUAGAUGAUGAAAUAGUUCGAAGAAAAUCUUUGACUGCCCUCUCUUGUAUCCAAGACAAAAUAGUUCCAAACACAAGCUCCACAUUUUCCCCAGUCUCACCAAUCAACAUAUGCCACAUCCCAUGCAAAAUCUUCAAUGUUUUGUCCUUGCUUGCAGCUGAUUCAUACAAAAACGUAGCAGCCUCAGGAUCACAUACAACAUCAUCUUCCCCAUGCAAAAUUAUCAAUGGAACCUCUAGCUCGUGGCAAUGCAUCCUUAUAUACUUACAAACCCUCAAAAACUCCAAUUCAGUCGCCGCUGGAGGCUUCCCUGAGCUCCUCCGAUUAGGGUUUUUGGCCACCAAUCUCCUCUUCCAUUCCUCCUUGAAUGACUUACUAGCCACAGGCUUUGUGACAACGACUUUCCAAGUCGGUGCAAAUAACGCAGCAACAGGAAGCAGCUUCUCUAGUGGCCUUGUGGGUUUGAAUUUUGAUGAAAUGCCACACAUUGAGCCAUUCAAAAUCAAACCAUCCCAUCCAUAUUUUUGAUGUAGAGAUAUAAGAAUGCAAAUGGCUCCUCCCAGCGAUUCGCCGUAGAGAAAUGAAGGCAGUUUAGGGUUUUGGGAUUAGACUGAGUCAAAAAAUUGUGUGCAAUCUUGAAUAAUGUGUUGAAUGUUAGGGAUGUGACCAGGGUAGCCAUCAGAUUGGCCAUGGCCUUGAAGAUCAAGUGCACAAACUAAGAACCCGAGUUUGGCUAUGGCUACAGCAGUGAGCUCAGAUAUCCAGCUGCUGUCAGCAGCGUAGCCAUGAACCAUUGCUACAAGCCCUUUGAACUGCUGGUGGUGGAGGUGGUUGUUGUUGGCACAAUAUUCAGGGCGCCAUGUUUGGGUGAAGAGUUUCAUUUUCCUUUCGUUAAGCAUGAAGCUUUCUUCGUGAAUGAUUUGAUGCUUCUUGUAAAAUUCUUCUCGAGUGAGGUCUCCGUAUGGGCUAUUCUCAUUAGCUUGGCUUAUGGGGUGUGACAUUUUCAUUUCUUUGAAGAAUAAGAAGAAGAGUCAAGAAUGUUCAAAAGUAUUUGGAGUAUGAAAUGUGAAUAUGUUGAGGAGAAUGACACCAGGCCACUUGUAUUCAUAUAUGGUGACCUACUAAGCUGCUAGUCAUGCAAAUUUUAAUUGCAGAUGUUCACCCUGUG